rnacentral:rRNA from 1 species
AUUGAACGCUGGCGGCAGGCCUAACACAUGCAAGUCGAGCGGAUGAAGGGAGCUUGCUCCUGGAUUCAGCGGCGGACGGGUGAGUAAUGCCUAGGAAUCUGCCUGGUAGUGGGGGAUAACGUCCGGAAACGGGCGCUAAUACCGCAUACGUCCUGAGGGAGAAAGUGGGGGAUCUUCGGACCUCACGCUAUCAGAUGAGCCUAGGUCGGAUUAGCUAGUUGGUGGGGUAAAGGCCUACCAAGGCGACGAUCCGUAACUGGUCUGAGAGGAUGAUCAGUCACACUGGAACUGAGACACGGUACAGACUGCUACGGGAGGCAGCAGUGGGGAAUAUUGGACAAUGGGCGAAAGCCUGAUCCAGCCAUGCCGCGUGUGUGAAGAAGGUCUUCGGAUUGUAAAGCACUUGAAGUUGGGAGGAAGGGCAGUAAGUUAAUACCUUGCUGUUUUGACGUUACCAACAGAAUAAGCACCGGCUAACUUCGUG